rnacentral:rRNA from 1 species
AUGGAGCCACCCGGUUCAGCAGGAGCAGCAGAACCGGUCGAGGAGGACCGCGUCGACGAACCGGCCCACGGGGGCUCCUCCCCGAGCGCUGCGGCGCCGCCACCUCCACCUCCCCGCACGACGCCCCUCCACCUCGAGCAGGCCGGAGGCGGCGCCGAUGGGUCGACCCGCGCGACGGUGUUCGACCCCCGGAAGGGCAAGGAUCCGGUGCCCCUGCUGCCGUCCUGGGUCAUCCCUCCUCCUCCGAGCCCCGCCACGGUGUUCGACCGACAGAAGGGCAAGGAUCCGGUGCCCCCGCUGCCGCCCUGGGGCAUUCCUCCUCCUCCGAGCCCCGCGGGCAGCAGCAGCAGCUCCUCCGACUCCUCCAUCGACUACGGCGCGGCAUUCAGGGCCGGGGCCUUCGGAGACGGGGUCACCGAGUCGAGCACCGCCGCGGAACUCAGAGCCCGCGGCGGCAGGGCGCCGGCUACGUGGAGCGACCCCUUGGUGGCGGCCACGAGGGAGGAGCCCAACGCGGCGCCGCAUCCGUUCGACCACGGGAUGAUCGAUCGGCUGGUGCGACAGCAGGCGGCCAUCGACGGGGCGAUCGGGCUACGGGAAGAGCCCGAGGAGGCGGCGCCGUCGGUCGACCCCAAGCUGGUUGCGCAGUCGUUGCUCCAGCGGCUGGCGAGAGUGCAGGCGGCCGUCGACGAGGACAACAGGCGACGGGAACAGCAGUACAACUCGUUGCGCGCGGAAGAGGCGAUGUACCAGAAGGAACAGGAGAAACUAUCACAAGUAAAGGUUGUGGUAAAGGUGAAACCCAAGCAAGACAAACUAGGUAUAAACUGGACUCGGAUCAUGAACAAGAUUUUUCAUAGAGAAGGAAGGGAAAUAUGUUCGGAACAUGUGAACCACCAGACACAUCCCAUCACUGAAGUCAGAAGGCAUCAUAGGCUUGCUUCUGACGAGGCGAACCAUCUUGAUGCCUAUUCAGAAUAUAGAUCGGUGAUUGGAGAUGGGGAGUGUUUCUACAGGAGCUUCCUAUUUUCGUACCUUGAGCAAGUUAUUGAUAGGCAGGACACACAUGAGGAACAACGUCUCCUUCGUGUUGUUGAAAGAAUGUCCAUGCAACAUGCAAAUCUUCGAUGGAACUCUGACUUUCGCAGGAGCAGCAAAGCAUUUAAGAAUCUGAUCAAGAAAAUAAUGAGACGGAAACAUGGCAGAGAAUCAACUAGCAGCCGCCGUAAAGAGAAACUUCUCAAGUUCUUCAACAAGGAUGAUACGACACUAGACAUUUUCAUUUUCCUCAGAUUAGUAGUAGCUAUCCAGAUGUGCUCGCACAGGGAGGUGUAUGAACCGCUUAUACCCGGGCUCAGAGGAAAUUACAAUCUGGAAGAUUGGUGCUUUUGGCGCGUCACUCCAGCUCGCCGGUUCACGCAUCAUGUUAUGAUGGUGGCCUUGGCCAGAGCGCUUGAGGUACCCCUCAGAGUGGAGCGAGUCCGAGGAGGAUAUGAUCCAGAUAUCUACACUGUUCCUGGAGUUCCCCGUCCGAGAGUGACCCUGCUGUACUCGGCAAAUCACUACGAAAUCAUCUACCCAUGCGCUCCUUCUGCUGAGAGUUCAAGUCAUCAAGCUUCCCAGAGAGAACAUGCUGCUGAUCAGGGUUCAAAUCAACAGACUUCCCAGAGAAAACAUCCUGCUGAUCAGAGUUCAAGUCAUCAGGCUUCCCAAAGAGAAGAUUCUGCUGAUCAGAGUUGA